CCUACGGAGGCAGCAGUGGGGAAUUUUGGACAAUGGGCGCAAGCCUGAUCCAGCAAUGCCGCGUGAGUGAAGAAGGCCUUCGGGUUGUAAAGCUCUUUUGUCAGGGAAGAAACGGUGGGAGCUAAUAUCUCCUACUAAUGACGGUACCUGAAGAAUAAGCACCGGCUAACUACGUGCCAGCAGCCGCGGUAAUACGUAGGGUGCAAGCGUUAAUCGGAAUUACUGGGCGUAAAGCGUGCGCAGGCGGUUUUGUAAGUCUGUCGUGAAAGCCCCGGGCUCAACCUGGGAAUUGCGAUGGAGACUGCAAGGCUUGAAUCUGGCAGAGGGGGGUAGAAUUCCACGUGUAGCAGUGAAAUGCGUAGAGAUGUGGAGGAACACCGAUGGCGAAGGCAGCCCCCUGGGUCAAGAUUGACGCUCAUGCACGAAAGCGUGGGGAGCAAACAGGAUUAGAUACCCUGGUAGUCCACGCCCUAAACGAUGUCUACUAGUUGUCGGGUUUUAAUUAACUUGGUAACGCAGCUAACGCGUGAAGUAGACCGCCUGGGGAUACGGUCGCAAGNUUAAAACUCAAAGUAGUAGUCGACGNGNGAGAGACGACGACGACGACGACGGAGGAGGAGG
rnacentral:rRNA from 1 species